rnacentral:lncRNA from 1 species
AAAAUGAAAACAAAUGAAGAUCUUGACCUUUUAGUAUGUUUUACAGCUUCCUAAAUAUUUUAGAGGCGGAUACAUUUAAAAAAAAAAAGGUGGAGCUUUAGCCAUGGAAUAACAUGAAAAUGAAUAUGUUAUACCAUGGCUGAAGCUCCGCCUUUUUUCCUUUGGAUUCUAGUCGAGUUGCAUAUUUAAUUAGCAAAGUAUGGUACAACAUAAAUUUGCAUAUAAUAUACCAUGGUUUUCCCUCACCA